UUAUCGGGACUAUUAUAUAUAUUGACUAGGCUUCGGGCACAUUGCUGGAUCGGGGGCACUGCUAGCCUAUAGUAUCUAGACGGCAAACCCGCCAGUGGCGCUCCUCCUUCGGCGGCAGCGCUCUCCUCCAGCGGUGCGCUCGUCCCCCGAUGGUGCUCCUCCCCUGGUGACCGGGCUCUCCUCUACGACACAUACAGAGGUAAGAGAAGCAGGGUGCUGGCUCCAUAGGUGUUGGUGCUUGCAAUUUGUGUCAGAUGUGCAUGCUAGCGUCUGCGGCAUCCUGUAUGUGCUGGCAGCCAAUACGUUCGUGGCCUGGCUACCAUGGGGCCCGUUCGUCCACUCGUCUCUAAUCUGGUCGGGCGGUGAUGUGUGGCCUGUGUUAAUUGGCCGGUUCUUAACAAGCAGCAGCAAUCACGGUGGCGUUCAUGCAGUAGGGGCAGGGCUAUGAGCCGGCGACGACACUCUUUCCCCUCGAUGUCGCCAAGGUUUCUAUGCUGCUGAUAGACAUUAAUGUUCCAACCUCACGUGGGUCGCAACUGCGUGGCUCCUGCUCCCCACCGGAUGGUUGGAAUGGAUUGCUCUCCACGCGAUGAGGCAGGGAGCGAACUGGGGAGGGGGCACUGCUAGCCACACACGGUGCCCUGCAGCUCGUCGUUGUCUGUGAUGGCAGUAUACAUAGUCGAGGUGGAUCCCCUUGUUUCUAUGCAGCUAAUGGACAUUAAUGUCCCAACCUCAUGUGGGUCGCAGCUGCGCAGCUCUUGCUCCCCACCGGAUGGCUGGAAUGGAUUUCUCUCCACACGAUGAGGUAGGGGAGCAGACCAUGGAGGGGGCACUGCCGGCCGCAGUGACCUGCAACUCGUCAUCGUCUAUGACCUAGCAGCGAGGGUGCUUCUACACGAGCUGUUGCUUCAGCUCAUUAUUGUAUGCCUUGUACGGUUAAAAUUUUUCUAUGAGAUUUCUAUCGAUUUCAAUGGCUGAUUGCGUGUGUUUGAUGAAAUGGUUUCUAUGCGAUUGGUUUUUUAUUUUUUAUUUACAUCAUAAUUGCUUUCCUCCACUAAGCAGCUAAGGUUUUCUAUGUGUUGCAAUUUCUAUUUGAUUCCUACUUGCUUCCUAGUGAUGGCUGUUGUGCUGCAGUCUGGUGAUGGCCGGAGCUCGUAAUUGAUGUCUUUUCUUUUCUAUUGUUUGAUGCACACAAAUCCAUCAAUCUAUUCCUAAAGGUGCAUCCAGAAUUUUGAAUUGCAGCUCGCAAUAGAUGCUUGCUUCCUUUCCAUAAUAUCACAUUAGUCUGUACAUAUUUUGUUUUCAGUCCAUACAUAUUCUGUUUUCUAAUCGAACAUAUUUCUUUUUAUGCUUUUUCUCCAUGUUUUUAUGCUCACUGCAUCUUGUGUGUGAGCAAGGUUUAUGUGCAAUUCAUUUUUUAGUUCUAUGCUUCUUUAGCCAAUCGUAUAAGCAAGCAAGCAUUGGGUUUUGCUUGAACAGGAAUGGUUUCUAAACAAUCUGAAUGGAAGUAGAUAGCAUCAAGAAUUCGAGGAGGAAUGGUUUCUAUUCACUGAGGCAUAUGAUUUCUACUUCAUAAUAUUUUUUUGCAUAAAAACCUCUCCACGGGAUAGACAUUCCACCUAACACAACCGUGGUUGCCACAACCAAUAUCAUGCUUUCUAAUAUGAGGAUGUAUAAUUGACAUGGGAGCAAUACAUAGAACAUGGUGACAAUAUGCGUAAAACAUGGAGACAAUCUUGUCUUCUUGAAAAUUUGAAAUUUGAAAAAUAGCACACGAUCAAAUUCAUAGAAUCAGUGAUCAAUACGCUUAAAAUUUUUUGGUGACAAUAUUGCAUAGAAAUUAGUAGUUCAAUGAAUAAAAAGUAAAUUUAUUUGCAGCAUAAAAACAUCAUAGAACUGCUCUAAUAAUACAUAUCUUGGUAUGUGUGUUCUUUGUAAAUCCCAAAUUCAAAAUCUUUUCUCAUGUAUGCAAAUUUAGGUGUGAAUUGCAAUGCAUUUGUGUAAAUUUUUAUGCAAUUGAUAAGCUAAUUUUUAUGAAUGUUAUUAUUGCUUUUUAAGCACUCAAGGUUGUUGGCUUUGUAUGUAUAUUUAGUCACCUGUGUGUCUAUCUGAAGAGCAUCGUCUCUCUCUCUCUCUCAACUGCUACUGAUGUGCUAUUAAUUCUCCCAUGUUAAUUUCUAUGCAUUAUUCAUUUUCUAUGCAUGGUUAAUUUUCUGUGCAUUGUUAUUUUCUAUGCAUUAUUAAUUUUCUAUGCCGCGUCAUGGCUGUCCUUGAUGGCUCAGCUCAAGUCGUGAGGCUGCGACUGGCAGACACGCAGCAGGAGGAGGCCAGCGGCUCGGGGCAUGGAGUAAUGGACACCAAAUCACGUGAUGACGGUUCCCUCCAGGCUUCGUGUAACUUUUUUAUGUGGAUCCGAGGUGCUAUUGCGUUUGGACAGCAACGGGGAGUUGGCACACGCCAUGGGCGUCGAGCUUGGCAUCUGGUCUCAGCGCUACGUGCUGCUCGCGGAGGACGGUGUCGUCAAGGUUCUCAACCUCAAGGAGGGCGGCAAGAUCACCAACAGCAACGCUGAGGACAUGCUUUCAAUCUCGAGGAGGGUGGCAUAUUCACCAAUCUCGAGGCACUCAACCUCUCCGACCAGCGGUACCACCUCGACAUGGGAAGCAGCAUGUGCCCACGAGGCUUUCAAUUUUUUUUCUAUGAGUUUUCUGUGUAACGACUCAACUUGUUGACGUGGUGGAUGGCUGGAGGUCCGAUGGCUGCAGCUAUGGUGUACCGUCCUGGUCUGCGGCUUCAGCGAACUUGCGUUGAUGGCGGCACCAUCGUACUAGUGCUCUUCCUCAAGCAUCUGGUGGCAACUCAGCUGGUGGGAGGCCUGAUGCCUACAAGUGGUGUGUGUUGGGGCUGUUACGAUAUUUGUUGAUUUUGUGUUUCUAUAUGUGCGUGCAUAUGGUUCUAUGUAUGGCUACAAUGUAACUUAGUAUGUUUUCUAUAUAUUGUUUUUUGCUUUCCUUUUUGGUUACUA